rnacentral:rRNA from 1 species
AACGCACCUUGCGCUCCUCGGUAUUCCGUGGAGCAUGCCUGUUUGAGUGUCAUCGAAAUCUCGAACCGAAGCCCUCGACCUCGUCGGAGCUCGGUUUCGGACAGUGGGGGUCUGCGGGCGGCAACGUCGGCUCUCCUCAAAUGCAUUAGCUGUGGGUGCGAGCCUCGCACGGCGACGGCCUCUUUCGACGUCAUAAUGAUCGUCGUGGGGCUGGAAGCGCGCGGGAAUCGGCAUGUCCCAUGCUUUCCAACUCUGCUGCGGGACGACCGCACGCGUUUAUCAAGGCUUGACCUCAAAUCAGGUAGGACCACCCGCUGAACUUAA